CUCCGCGUAGGAGCUGGAGAGGGGACGGGCUGCUGUUUCUGGGAAUUGCUUGAGGUAAAAUGCCAGAGCUAGUCUUAUGUUGAGGAAUGAAGUUGCUUCACUGGAGGCGCAAGGCUUCAAGAACAACACAGGCCCAAAGUGGUGCACGUGGACAGAAGGAGCUGUGCCCUCCUUCACCAGCGAUUUGAACCCCUCCCUGUUGCAUUCCUGGAGGGAGUCCUCGAAUUUAGGCACAGACUGAACUCAUACCAGACCAGGAGACCCGUAACUGGGAGCUUGAGAAUGAAUAUAUAUUUUCCAAAUGAGUCCAGCCUCCUUGAAUCUUUAUUUUUUGGUGUAGGGGCUGGUUGGCCCCUGUGGUUGACCGACUCAACCACCAGGGAGUUAGGAGCAGGGUGGGUGUAUAAGUAUUCAUGCCCCUUGGCAGGUACAAAAUACUUGCAUUCCACUCUCAGAGAAGGGGGCCAAUAAGGCUGGGGUUUUCCAUUGGGCAUUUGAAAUUUUCACCACCCCUUUGUGGAGAGGCAAGGCCACCCUGCCUGGUGCCGAGGAGGACAGUACAUUAAACAGUGAGUCCGAGGGCUCCUCCAUCUCCUCUGCUUGGAGGUGGAGGCUUG